CAUAUAUAGUAACACUAAUUCAACGGUAUCUCAAAUUUGCGUGGUAACUGGCAAAUGAUCAGUAAUUUCUAUUAUUUAGAAGUGGGAGUUUGAGGGUACGAACAUGGCAUUCCUGAACUGUCCAAAACGAAGUGUGAAUAGUACUCUAUGUUUGGCCCAUAGUUGUUGGUGAAGUAACACGUGUCUGCACUUUUCCUUUACCUUACCACGUGUAAUUCAUUUCAAAUGCUCCUCUGUUUCAAUUUGCAGAGUGCAGACAGAUUACAACUCCUCUAAUUUUCUCUCCUUCGCACACUCUGCAAGUUUAGUGAGUUUUACAAUUCGUCUGGGCUUCUUUUGAUCCUUUGUGUUUGAGAUUUCUCCUCUGUCUAUGUUCAUAUUUCUUUCAUAAAUUCUGUCUUUUUGUGAUUUUUCAUUCUGCUUGCCUCAAUUUUCUAGCGUCUAUUGUGUUUAUUAAGUUUUAUAAAUUUUCUCCCCUGUUUCUUUUUCUUGUGUUGUGUUCUGGAUUUCAUUUCUAGAUUUCUUUGAAAGUUUUGUCUAUUUUUGUUCGAUGUUGGUUUCUCUAUUCUUUUGAAUAAUUUCUUGCUAGAUUUUCUACAUUCAUGUCUGGUAUUUCUAUCUCAUUUGAUAUGCAUGUCUUCCUUACUUCUGCUUUUGGCCAUGAAUUCUUGAUUCAUUUCAAAAUUUCUAUUGUGGUUCCCCUUUGUAUGUGGAUUUGCUGAUUUUUGUUCUCUGUUUCUUCUUGAUGAGCAUUUAGAUGUUCGAUUUUAUUUUUUGACAAGAUUAUUGAUUUACAAUUUUCACUCUCUCUCAAAGUAUCUUUGCCUUUCGCUUUGUUUUUCUUUUUAAUACUCCUACAGAGUAUGUGAUUUUGGAUAUUUGUUUGUUUCUCCUCUUUCUUCAUGUAUGUAGUUAUUUUUAAGAACUCUUCUACAGAAGCACUGAAUUGCCAUCAGGAAUAAAUAGUAGUAACAAAAAUGGAAGAACUUUGAUGCAGCAAAAGUGUUUGACAAUAAACCUGAAACAAUUGAACAAGUUUUUAUUCCUUUUUUUUCCAGUUGUUCUAUUACAUAAACAUACUAUCAUUUAGCAACUCAAAACAACAACAACAAUUAGUGAGAUCCCACAAAUGGGGUCUGGGGAGGUAGUGUGUACGCAGACCUUACCCCUGGUAGACCCUCGGCACAAGAAGGAUCAUUUAGCAACUCCAAAUCAGGUAACUAAAUGGGAGUUGACAAGACAAUACGACCCAUUAAAAUAUAAGUUACCCAUACAUGGAUUCGGUUAGAUGAAACCAUCCCAAAGGGUCAGGACAAGAGCUUGCGGAAGAAGAUCUACAAGUGUUAACACAAGUGUUAAGAAGUCAAUUUUUGCUCCAUGCUGGUUCCAAUUUCGUAUUUUAUAUGCAGGUACUUUGUGAUAACAAUGGGAUAUAUUUGAACAUGAAUAUGUGUCCAAUGAUAUAAAAAUAUGGGUUUGAGUAGAAUUGACAUGUAACCCGUGGCGGACGCACAUGGUGGCAAGCGGGUUCAACCGAACCCGCUUCAUCAAAAAUAAUACUGUGUAUAUGUAUAAAUUAGGAUUAAAGCUGCGUAAAUUUUGUAUAAAUAUUUUAUUUGAACCCACUUAACAACUACUAUUUUACAACUAAAGUUAUGUACUUCUAAUAUUGAACCCGCUUGCAUAAAAUUCUGGGUCCGCCACUGCAUGUAACCACAUAGUUUAAAGGAGCAAUGCUCUCGACUUCUAAAGUAACCAAAUUCCCAAGCUUUCUAGAUUAGUUAUGAACUCUUGCAAGGCAUGUGAACUUGAUUUUGGUAAUGUUUUCAUGCAUGAUUAUGUAGUUAAAAGAAAUUCUUGCUUGAGAUUUUAAUGAAUUAAAUAGAUUCGUCAAGCCUUUCUUGUGAGCUUAUCUCAAAGUUAUGAUAUAUACAAAUUUAUUAUAAGCUUAAUGAUAUCAUCUAGACAUGGGCAUCUUUAUAUGAAUGCACAUGCUUAAUCUUAGCUAGCAACUUUCUGUGAUGUUUCAUAUGUUUUCUGUUUUAGUUUGGUGUAAGUGACAUUUUGACCUACAUUGAUGCAAAAUAUGAAGUUGUGAAGUCUUACAUAUUUUGGUAUAUGUACCACGUGAACUUUUCAAAUCCAAAUUUACUCGAGUCACAGGGGAGAUGGCCCAAAAGUUGCAAAGUGAUUGAAGAUGUACAAUUUUUCUCUCUUUAUAUUUCUUUCUUGACUCCGUUUUUGGGGUAUGAACAAGUAGUUGUAUGUUCUGUGAUCGGAAUUUGGACCCAUCGCCUGUAUUUUCUCCACUUCGUAUAACGAUAUUGCUUAUCCAUUUGGCCUGAAUCAAACUUGGAUAAGAAUAGCUUGCACAAGACUUUGCUUUUUUCAGGUAUUAAUAUCUAUAGAAGGGAAAGAACAUGUGAUGAACAAAAAGAGCAAGAGCCAUCAAGAGGGGCUUGGAACUUUUAGAGAGAGUAAAGUGGUAGCUUCAUGAGAAUCCUGUGUUGAAAUAGAUUUUCGACUUGACAUUUCUGAAAACAAGUUGUUUCCAUCUUCCUUUGAUUUUUGCUAAGGGAGUUGCAUCUUAGUCCACCUAGGGAGUAGCGGAUGAUAAAUUGAUCACAUUACUGAAGGAUAAACUUGGGAUAAGAAAACUCUAAUGCUACUUGAUGCCUUUUACAAUGUAUCUGCUAGCCGAUUUUUUGAGUCCUUUAUAUAUAACUUGGCAGCUUAUGAUGCUCCAUUGUUGGCAAGAUUAUUGUUCAUAUCGUCCAGAUUCCACAGACGUCAUUAUGACCAACAACAAAUUUUUCGAGUAUUAUAAAUAGAUACUUUUUACCUGUUAACGAGAACUCUAAUUUUUUUGCUGAUUAAUUAUAGAAGAGGCAAACGUGUAAUAAUUUAGUACCUACAAUUCAAUCAAGUUAGUUUUACCUUAUUGUGUGAUUAGUUAUAUCUAUUUUAUAUGUGAAAUAUAGCUGGGCAAUUUUUAAUGUACUUAUCCUAUUUAUUUGAAAACAUCCUCAUAAGUUUAGCUAUUUUUAUAGGAGUUUCCUCUAUACUUCGCUAUGGCAUAAACUGCAAUUCGCCUUGGAUUGUUCAAUAAUAUUUUGAUUUGAUUUCUCAUUUCAUCAAAUAAAUCUUUGUGCUAAUAGAUACUAUGUUUGUCUUAAGGGUUUAGAGUUCUUACGAACUCCUUUGAGAUGAAAAAACCUUUUGUUUAUUUUUUAAUUAGCAGUUAUGAUUUCCUUGCUUGCUUACUCAGUAGUUAUUAAUGUCAAGUAUCACUUGAUUACACAUAUUACAGUUUGUUAUGAUGAUUGGUUCUUUUACAUGGUAGCAUGAGUUAUUAAUGAGCAAACAUAGUUCUUUCGUAUUAACUGUCCUGCCAUGUUAUGUCGAAGAGAUUAUCAUUUGCAAUUAUAUCUUGCAACAUAAAUAAGAGACAGUUCUUUUGUUGCUUGAUGCUCGGGACAGGACAACAGUGUUAUAUUUUCUUGUGAAAAAAUAAUAUUUUACCUAUUUGUUUUUCACUUAGCAGAGAUUCGUGAAGGCUGCGAGGUGGUUACAAUAUCAUAUGAGGAAGCUAAGAAAAAGUCAAAGAUAAUUGUAAGCUCCAUAGAAGCUGAAAACUGACAUGAAAUUCACAUAUGUUGCUACCUGCCAUAAUUAUGAGAAUCAAAAGAGAAGAUGUACAACUGCUAUUUUAGACAUAAUGGUCAGGUAGGUUUCUGGUUUUUCAAAAGGAACAGGUAAAAUAUCCAAGAAGUUGAAUUCUUCUCUACUCAAAUGGAUUUAAAUGAUUUUGGUGAAAUCUGCUUCCUGUGUAACAUGUGCAGCAAUUCCUCUCUCCGUGUGGCAUAUAUUAAAUGCUGAGUUUAAUUGAUUUUCAGUACAGCGGGCAAAGGAUGAACCACACCACAUUAAUUGUUCUAGAAUUGCCAUUCGUCUAAUUGCUCUUUGUGAUGCAACGCACCAUGGAAAAGAAACGACGACACAUACAAUGCUCAAGAAUCCUUUCAACUGGCAUUCUGUUGCUGGUAUCAAGCGGUGAUCCUACUGCUACUAUUCCCCAACUGAGUUCUUUAUAAUUCAAAAUGGUGAUGAUAUGUAGAAACUAAAGAAUAUAGAAAUGCAUUCUCUUGCAAACAAUUGGUGACGAGCAUUCAGUAAACUAAUGAGUCCAAAGUGCAAGAGAAGCCAAGUGUAAUCCACUAUGUUACUUAGUUUGCUCUUUGCUGUUGUGAAUUUUUUUUACUGCAUAUAAAAGUUGAACAAGCAAGAAGAAUAUACCAGCUUUCUGGAUAAGAAGUGGGCAUUGACUGAGGCAACAAACUUUAUAAGGAAUUUGGAGAAUCUAUCUGAAAUGUAGUCUCUAUAUUUCAACCUGUCCAGCAUUCAUUAUUUUGGUAAAACUCAAGUUUGUGCAGA